rnacentral:rRNA from 1 species
AGCGAACGCUGGCGGCAGGCCUAACACAUGCAAGUCGAACGAAGCCUUCGGGCUUAGUGGCGGACGGGUGAGUAACACGUGGGAACGUACCUUUUGGUUCGGAACAACUCAGGGAAACUUGAGCUAAUACCGGAUGAGCCCUUAGGGGGAAAGAUUUAUCGCCGAAAGAGCGGCCCGCGUUAGAUUAGCUAGUUGGUGAGGUAAAGGCUCACCAAGGCUACGAUCUAUAGCUGGUCUGAGAGGAUGAUCAGCCACACUGGGACUGGGACACGGCCCAGACUCCUACGGGAGGCAGCAGUGGGGAAUCUUGCGCAAUGGGCGAAAGCCUGACGCAGCCAUGCCGUGUGAAUGAUGAAGGUCUUAGGAUUGUAAAAUUCUUUUACCAGGGACGAUAAUGACGGUACCUGGAGAAAAAGCCCCGGCUAACUUCGUGCCAGCCGCCGCGGUAAAAC